rnacentral:rRNA from 1 species
CCUACGGGGGGCAGCAGUAGGGAAUAUUGCGCAAUGGGGGAAACCCUGAAGCAGCAACGCCGCGUGGAGGAUGAAGGUUUUCGGAUUGUAAACUCCUUUUGUCAGAGACGAAAAUGACGGUAUCUCACGAAUAAGCACCGGCUCACUCCGUGCCAGCAGCCGCGGUAAUACGGAGGGUGCGAGCGUUACUCGGAAUCACUGGGCGUAAAGAGUGCGCAGGCGGGGUUGUAAGUCAGAUGUGAAAUCCUGGAGCUUAACUUCUGAACUGCAUGUGAAACUAUGAGUCUAGAGUGUGGGAGAGGUAGGUGGAAUUCUUGGUGUAGCGGUGAAAUCCGUAGAUAUCAAGAGGAAUACUCGUGGCGAAGGCGAUCUGCUGGAAAAUUACUGACGCUCAGGCGCGAAAGCGUGGGGAGCAAACAGGAUUAGAUACCCUGGUAGUC